GACGAACGCUGGCGGCGUGCUUAACACAUGCAAGUCGAACGGAAAGGCCCUGCUUUUGUGGGGUGCUCGAGUGGCUAACGGGUGAGUAACACGUGAGUAACCUGCCCUCGACUUUGGGAUAACUUCAGGAAACUGGGGCUAAUACCGGCUCGGAGCUCCUCCUGCAUGGUGGGGGUUGGAAAGUUUCGGCGGGUGGGGAUGGACUCGCGGCUUAUCAGCUUGUUGGUGGGGUAGUGGCUUACCCAGGCUUUGACGGGUAGCCGGCCUGAGAGGGUGACCGGCCACAUUGGGACUGAGAGACGGCCCAGACUCCUACGGGAGGCAGCAGGGGGGAAUAUUGCACAAUGGGCGGAAGCCUGAUGCAGCAACGCCGCGUGCGGGAUGACGGCCUUCGGGUGGUAAACCGCUUUCGCCUGUGACGAAGCGUGAGUGACGGUAAUGGGUAAAGAAGCACCGGCUAACUACGUG
rnacentral:rRNA from 1 species